rnacentral:rRNA from 1 species
GUGCCAGCCGCCGCGGUAAUACCGGCAGCUCGAGUGAUGGCCGAUUUUAUUGGGCCUAAAGCGUCCGUAGCCGGCCACACAAGUCCAUCGGGAAAUCCGCCAGCCUAACUGGCGGGCGUCCGGUGGAACCUGUGUGGCUUGGGACCGGAAGACCCAACGGGUACGUCUUGGGUAGGAGUGAAAUCCUGUAAUCCUGGACGGACCACCGAUAGCGAAAGCACGUUGGGAAGACGGAUCCGACGGUGAGGGACGAAAGCCAGGGUCUCGAACCGGAUUAGAUACCCUGGUAGUCC